rnacentral:misc_RNA from 1 species
ACGAAAUCGGCCUCAGCCUCAGCUAAGUAUCGAAGAGAACGAAUUCCACAUCCGCACAUGGCGUCGAGAACCCGGAGACUUCCAGUGGUAUUCCGGUAGAGGGCGGCGGAGAGAACACCGAGGUCACGGGCGGUGGCGCUUUCACUGCGGAAGAAGGUGUCGCCGACAUCGAAUUGAUGGCCCCUUUCGGUAUGGCAGUGAGAUUUACAGGGCGGUGGAAUGUUACGUUGGA